rnacentral:rRNA from 1 species
CCACCUUUGACAUGGCAGGAAGGCUCCAGAGAUGGGGCUGUGCUCGAAAGAGAACCUGCACACAGGUGCUGCAUGGCUGUCGUCAGCUCGUGUCGUGAGAUGUUGGGUUAAGUCCCGCAACGAGCGCAACCCUUGCCAUUAGUUGCUACGAAAGGGCACUCUAAUGGGACUGCCGGUGACAAGCCGGAGGAAGGUGGGGAUGACGUCAAGUCCUCAUGGCCCUUAUAGGUGGGGCUACACACGUCAUACAAUGGCCGGUACAAAGGGUAGCCAACCCGCGAGGGGGAGCCAAUCCCAUAAAGCCGGUCGUAGUCCGGAUCGCAGUCUGCAACUCGACUGCGUGAAGUCGGAAUCGCUAGUAAUCGUGGAUCAGCAUGUCACGGUGAAUACGUUCCC